rnacentral:sRNA from 1 species
GCCGGCUGCGAGACUGGGGCCGUGGCUGCUGGUCCCGGGUGAUGCUAGGCGGCUCCCUGGGCUCCAGGCUGUUGCGGGGUGUAGGUGGGAGUCACGGACGGUUCGGGGCCCGAGGUGUCCGCGAAGGUGGCGCAGCCAUGGCGGCAGGGGAGAGCAUGGCUCAGCGGAUGGUCUGGGUGGACCUGGAGAUGACAGGAUUGGACAUUGAGAAGGACCAGAUUAUUGAGAUGGCCUGUCUGAUAACUGACUCUGAUCUCAACAUUUUGGCUGAAGAAAUUCAGUUCAUGAAGAUAAGAAGUUUCUUGACAAAUACAUGCCCCAGUUCAUGAAACAUCUUCAUUAUAGAAUAAUUGAUGUGAGCACUGUUAAAGAACUGUGCAGGUAAGGGCUAUAUUUAGGAUCCAUUAAAUUACCUCAUUUAGCAUGUUUUAAUUGAGAAUUUGUGGAAAGUAAUUGGAUAGAGCUGUAGAACUAAGGCUACCAAGUGGGUUCAUAUCUUCCUCAUCCCAUUCUUGCUUGUAUAGGACCUUAACUUACCCUGGACUGGUGAGAAUUGGGAGAAACAACGUCAGACAUGUUCCCAGUAAAUAAGCCAGUGCCUGGCACAAAAUAAGUGCUCAAUACAUUUUCUGGAUUAACUAAUAUUAUGUG